UACGAAGGGGGCUAGCGUUGCUCGGAAUCACUGGGCGUAAAGGGUGCGUAGGCGGGCCUUUAAGUCAGUGGUGAAAGCCGACAGCUUAACUGUCGAAAUGCCAUUGAUACUGGGGGUCUUGAGUACAGUAGAGGUAGGCGGAAUUAAUGGUGUAGCGGUGAAAUGCAUAGAUACCAUUAAGAACACCGAUUGCGAAGGCAGCUUACUAUAGUGUAACUGACGCUGAGGCACGAAAGUGUGGGGAUCAAACAGG
rnacentral:rRNA from 1 species